AACGAACGCUGGCGGCAUGCUUAACACAUGCAAGUCGAACGAGACCUUCGGGUCUAGUGGCGCACGGGUGCGUAACGCGUGGGAACCUGCCCUUAGGUUCGGAAUAACUCCCCGAAAGGGGUGCUAAUACCGGAUAAUGUCUUCGGACCAAAGAUUUAUCGCCUUUGGAUGGGCCCGCGUUGGAUUAGCUAGUUGGUAGGGUAAAAGCCUACCAAGGCGACGAUCCAUAGCUGGUCUGAGAGGAUGAUCAGCCACACUGGGGCGGAGACACGGCCCAGACGCCCACGGGGGGAAGCAGGGGGGGAGGAAGGUCGAAGGGGGGGAGAAGGCUGCAGCAAGAUUGCCGGGGGGAAGAAGGACGAUUUAGGUGGUAAAACUCUUUCGUCGAGGGCAUGAUCAUGACAUGACGGGAGGAAGAAGCCCCGGCUAACUCCGUG
rnacentral:rRNA from 1 species